GUAUUCAAGCGUGUCAACCGUGCGUAAUUGUGACGGAGCUGGCAACUCUACGAUACCUCCGACCUCAUUAAAACCGUCAUAUUUCUCUGUGAACGUUCAUGCACGAAGGACUUCUGUAAUUAAGCAUCAAAAUGAAUGUGAAACAGUCGCACCGUACAGGACAAACUUCACAGCACUCAGGAUGGCGCCAUCGCUGUCUGUGAAUGAGCCAGGCAGCCUCCAAGAUGUGGCGGGUUGGUGCCUGUCUGAGCCUCGCAUGACGGGCGCGCAGUGGCGCACGUGAUGCCCGCACUCAAUAUCGCCGUCCUGUACACACGGGGCAUUGUUCAUUGGUAAAUAAAAGAACCAUUCUGUGAAUUGUUACAAUGUUUAAUAAAAAAAAAAAAAAAAGUAAAUUUGACCAUACAUAAUAAAUUAAGGAGUGACCUGACACCGGCAAGUAUAGUACUGUCUGAAUACUGGAAGUUAGCUGCAUCAUGUGUUAUACUUCUCCGGGUCAAAUAAUACUCUCUAAAACCAAGUAAUGAUUUCCAUAAUCUGUCCUGGAUACAUGUGAUAAAACAAAUGAGAUAUGAAGCAUGAAUAUUACAGAACUGUUUCUCCUCCAGUUAGCAGCUUCUAUGUUAAUUGUAGCAAAACAACACUACCCUCUGAUAUUUCACAAACCUUUAGUGCAGUUCAUUAAACUUGUGUCUUCGUCACAACAAAAGAAAAAAGAGAAUGGCAGACACAAACGCAGAAAAAUUAAUAGGUCAUAUUUUUAUACUAUGAAGUCACAAAUUUCAAUCUUAUGUACAUAGUACAAAUGCCAAGUUAUUUUGACAUUGAUUUUUUUUUUAUUAAUUCAAAACAGAAACUAAAGACACACUAAGAAUGGAAUAUGAGUGUUCAUCAAGGGUUCAAAUCCCACUCCUAUUAUUGUACCUAGCUUACAAUGCACAUCAAAAUUGGUUACCCAUCAUUUCACACAAUGAAAAAUGACAAUGAAAAUGUGAUGAUAAUAGUGAUCAUGAUGAUGUCAAUGAUCAAAACUGAUAUUCACCUUACUUCCUCAAUGACAAACUUCCCAAGAAGACACACAUCAAACACCGUGAAGAUUGCCAUUCAUGCACCAUCAAGUGUUCAACACCUAGUGAUACAUAAAAGGAAGACUGGAUGACUUUCUGCAGCAUGGUUACAUAAUAAAAAAAAUUUUGUAAAUUGUUAGUCCAAUUAGUGAGACA